rnacentral:ncRNA from 1 species
CUAGUUAUUCAUUCAAAUAAAUGCAAGAAAACUAACCCGGAUUAGACACCUUCAAGGAUUGACAGAUUGAAAGCUUUCUCGACUUGGUUCUAUGUGGUGCAUACCCGUUCUCAGUUUGUGUUGUGAUUUAUCGGGUUUAUUCCGACAACGAGAGACCUUGGCCUGUUAAAUAGUGGCUGGAAUUGUUUUUUAUAAUAUGUGCAGUCUACUUCUUAGAGAGAUAAACGGUGUUUGGUCGCACGAGAUCGAUCUAUAACAGGUCUGUGAUGCCUAUGCGCGCCACAAUAAAAGAAGCAGCCGGCUUAUUCAUUACUGAAAGGUGUUGGUAAACCGUUGGAUUGUUAUUACUUCCUUUGAAAGGAAUUUUUGGGAAAUGUGAGUUAUCAGCUCUCGAUGAUUACG